GUGGGGAAUCUUAGACAAUGGGGGAAACCCUGAUCUAGCCAUGCCGCGUGAGCGAUGAAGGCCUUAGGGUUGUAAAGCUCUUUCAGCUGGGUAGAUAAUGACGGUACCAGCAGAAGAAGCCCCGGCUAACUCCGUGCCAGCAGCCGCGGUAAUACGGAGGGGGCUAGCGUUGUUCGGAAUUACUGGGCGUAAAGCGCGCGUAGGCGGACCAGCAAGUUGGUGGUGAAAUCCCAUGGCUCAACCUUGGAACUGCCUUCAAAACUCCUGGGCUGGAGUUCGAGAGAGGUGAGUGGAAUUCCGAGUGUAGAGUUGAAAUUCGUAGAUAUUCGGAGGGACACCAGUGGCGAAGGCGGCUCACUGGCUCGAUACUGACGCUGAGGUGGGAAAGCGUGGGGAGCAAACAGGAUUAGAUACCCUUGUAGUCC
rnacentral:rRNA from 1 species